rnacentral:piRNA from 1 species
AAGGGAUGACAAUGUUGUGCUUA